rnacentral:rRNA from 1 species
AUGCAAGUCAAGGGGGCCCGCAAGGGCAACCGGCGAACGGGUUAGUAACACGUAGAUACAUACCACUGAGACAGGAAUAACCUAGAGAAAUCUAGGCUAAUACCUGAUAGUUCCCUCACGGGUAAAGGUUUCGCAAGAAGCCGCUUAGUGAAUGGUCUGCGGCCUAUCAGCUAGUUGGUAAGGUAAUGGCUUACCAAGGCUAUGACGGGUAGGCGGUGUGAGAGCAUGACCGCCAACAGGGGUACUGCGACACGGACCCCACUCC